UCAUUCUGGAACAACUCUGUUUCUCCAUGUACUCAUUCUGGAACAACUCUGUUUCUCCAUGUACUCAUUCUGGAACAACUCUGUUUCACCAUGUACUCAUUCUGGAACAACUCUGUUUCUCCAUGUACUCAUUCUGGAACAACUCUGUUUCUCCAUGUACCACCCACUUCAUUCUGGAACAACUCUGUUUCUCCAUGUACUCAUUCUGGAACAACUCUGUUUCUCCAUGUACUACGUACUCAUUCUGGAACAACUCUGUUUCUCCAUGUACUCAUUCUGGAACAACUCUGUUUCUCCAUGUACCACCCACUCAUUGUGUAACUGGAGUGUGUCAGUGAGCGUAACAUGAGCCAGAAGAGCCUAGUUGAGGUUAUUCUAUCCGGAGUUGGGAAACACUUUUGGGGACACUGGAGGACCGGAGUUGGGCUGUUGGGGGUACUGGAGGACUGGAGUUGGGCUGUUGUGAGUACUGGAGGACUGGAGUUGGAAAACACUGUUGGGAGGACUGGAGGACUGGAGUUGGGCUGUUGGAGGUACUGGAGGACCGGAGUUGGGCUGUUGGGAGUACUGGAGGACCGGAGUUGGCAAACACUGCCCUAGAGAAUAGGGUGCCAUUUGGGAUGCAGGCAGAAAGCCAGUGUGUGGAGGGUCGGGUACUGUAUGACUGGCUGGAACCAGGGAGGGAAACACAGACGUUACUCGUCGGGUACUAUAUGACUGGCUGUCACAGCUACUGACAGACAAAACACAGACGUUACUCGUCGGGUACUAUAUGACUGGCUGUCACAGCUACUGACAGACAAAACACAGACGUUACUCGUCGGGUACUAUAUGACUGGCUGUCACAGCUACUGACAGACAAAACACAGACGUUACUCGUCGGGUACUGUAUAUGACUGGCUGGAACCAGGGAGGGAAACACAGACGUUACCUGUCGGGUACUAUAUGACUGGCUGUCACAGCUACUGACAGACAAAACACAGACGUUACUCGUCGGGUACUGUAUAUGACUGGCUGUCACAGCUACUGACAGACAAAACACAGACGUUACUCGUCGGGUACUAUAUGACUGGCUGUCACAGCUACUGACAGACAAAACACAGACGUUACUCGUCGGGUACUAUAUGACUGGCUGUCACAGCUACUGACAGACAAAACACAGACGUUACUCGUCGGGUACUAUAUGACUGGCUGGAACCAGGGAGGGAAACACAGACGUUACUCGUCGGGUACUAUAUGACUGGCCGUCACAGCUACUGGCAGACAAAACACAGACGUUACUCGUCGGGUACUAUAUGACUGGCUGUCACAGCUACUGACAGACAAAACACAGACGUUACUCGUCGGGUACUAUAUGACUGGCUGUCACAGCUACUGGCAGACAAAACACAGACGUUACUCGUCGGGUACUAUAUGACUGGCUGUCACAGCUACUGACAGACAAAACACAGACGUUACUCGUCGGGUUCUAUAUGACUGGCUGUCACAGCUACUGACAGACAAAACACAGACGUUACUCGUGGGGUACUAUAUGACUGGCUGUCACAGCUACUGACAGACAAAACACAGACGUUACUCGUCGGGUACUGUAUGACUGGCUGGAACCAGGGAGGGAAACACAGACGUUACUCGUUGGGUACUAUAUGACUGGCUGUCACAGCUACUGACAGACAAAACACAGACGUUACUCGUCGGGUACUGUAUGACUGGCUGGAACCAGGGAGGGAAACACAGACGUUACUCGUUGGGUACUAUAUGACUGGCUGUCACAGCUACUGACAGACAAAACACAGACGUUACUCGUCGGGUACUAUAUGACUGGCUGUCACAGCUACUGACAGACAAAACACAGACGUUACUCGUCGGGUACUGUAUAUGACUGGCUGUCACAGCUACUGACAGACAAAACACAGACGUUACUCGUCGGGUACUAUAUGACUGGCUGCCACAGCUACUGACAGACAAAACACAGACGUUACUCGUCGGGUACUAUAUGACUGGCUGUCACAGCUACUGACAGACAAAACACAGACGUUACUCGUUGGGUACUAUAUGACUGGCUGUCACAGCUACUGACAGACAAAACACAGACGUUACUCGUCGGGUACUAUAUGACUGGCUGCCACAGCUACUGACAGACAAAACACAGACGUUACUCGUCGGGUACUAUAUGACUGGCUGUCACAGCUACUGACAGACAAAACACAGACGUUACUCGUCGGGUACUAUAUGACUGGCUGUCACAGCUACUGACAGACAAAACACAGACGUUACUCGUCGGGUACUGUACACAUUUCACAGUUCUCUGUUGCUCAGUGUGCAUCAGUCCAGUCAGGCUUGUUUCUCAUUGCUGCCAUUAUUGUGCAUUGUGUCACUUAAAUUAGAGGGAUGAUCUGCUACUAGGAUUAUCAUCACAGAGUUUUAAUGGAUGUCUCUGUGUGUGUGUGUGUGUGUGUGUGUGUAUGUGUGUGUGUAUGUGUGUGUGUGUUGGAAAAAAUAAAAUGUUGCAAUAUCAGACAGA
ensembl:lncRNA